UGCUGUGUCUUUGAGGCCAGCAGUACCUGAAUCAAGGAAAUAGCUGGAAAGCGUCAGUAUAAUAUUCAUCAGGCACCUUGUUUAUAAUGUUAUUUUCUGGCUCAAUUUGUCCUCACACAGCAAGACAGAAAUUAAUGACUCAGUCAUUUUACUUUGUGACACUCAUCAUCAGAGACGUGCUAAAAUAAAUAAAAAAAAUACAGGCAGUAAAAUAACAAGGGAUUUACAGCCUAAAACUUUUUCAAACUUUUGUCCCAAAAUACAAUAAAAAGCAUGUCUUACUUCUUGUUCCUAUGUAUUUUAAUUCAUUUUAUAAUUAAUAUUAAUAGCUUGAUUUCAUAGAUUCUGGUCCUGAAUAGAUGGAUAUAAUACUGAUGCUGUAUAAAUAACAAAUACUCAUUAAAAAAAAAAAAAAAAACUCGCUGAGGUGCACUGAUCCAUCUCUUUAGGGUGAAAAUAAGAGGAGGCUGGUGUUGGUUUAAGUGUCACUGAGUCUGAAAUAGCAGCUUAAAUUAGGUGAAAAAGUCAAACCCGAGUUUGCCCUUAAACUCUCAAACUAAGACGCUUGAGUGGCAGCACUACUUUUCUCACUUACUGCACGCAGCCACAGGUGAAGGCGGAGAGAUACAGCGGUGCAGCAGGGCGGUGAUGCAGCUUCUACUGAAAAACCUACAGUGAGAGGGAAUGUGAGAGAACAUGAGGCAAAAACGAAAUAAAGUAAUGUCUAAUGUUUUUAAUACAAAAUAAAUCGAAUUGGAUUGGGGGUUAUUUUAGAACAACAACGAAGAAGGAGCACUCCAGCAGCGGAGAUUGUUGUUAAAGUGAGUCAUGGCCCACGAGUGGGAGCAACGUAGACAUUCCUUCACUGGGAGUUCUUCAGGAUGAGAUAAGCCUCUCUGUGCUUCCCAGCGUCUGGUUGGGGACAGGACCUCCGUAUCAGUGGAGUUCAAUCUCACGCAACCAUGCAGUGACUAGAAAUAUCUGUGGACAGAAAGUAAAUGCCUUCCUGGAGUUUUAUCGCUCCUCUAAACUUCUUAAUAUUCCAGGUGCACUCCUCUGGAGUCUGUAGAUCAAAUGUGCCUGCAUGUGCUUUGCUAAACUGUAAAAAGAUCCAGGUUUUUCUCAUUUAUGAACCGGAGCAGUCAAAUCUCAAAUCAUCGUCACGUUUCAAAGUUCUCGUUCAGCGAUCCAAAAUGGCUGCCGUCACCAGGCGUCAGAGCUGAGCGCGACGUCGCCAUCAGUCACGAGCACAUCGCCAGCACAGCAGAGAUUUAACAAGGCCGUGGGUUCUUCAGUGGGAACAGCACAGACAGGACCACAGAUGUUCCAGGAUCCAGCUGUGACAAGAUGUUUAUUGGCUUUGACACAACGAGUGCAAUUAAGGUGUGUGUGGAAGAAAAGCACAGACACUAUAAUAACAUCAAAUAUAUUUUUGAAAUCACAGAUUUUCAAAUUUGCAUUUUGGGUGCCAUCAUUAAAAUGCCACCAGGCACAUCACUGUCAGAGAGCUACCUGACAAUAAUGCAACUUUAAGACAUAACAUAUCUCCAACCUUCAGGCUUCGGCGCCACAGCUUGGCGUUUAAUAGACUUGUGUGCCACAGCUGUCAUGUCACUCACAUAAUCCUAUAGCAAAUUAAACACACAGCUGAGAAAUGCAAUUAUUUGCUUUCUUGCCAAGCGUCAGAUGAAAAAAAAUCUACACCACUGCUAGUCUCCAGUUAAAGUUCAAGUCUGAGGACUGUUAACAGCCUCGGUACUGGAACCCGGGGGAAGCAGCCAGUCGGACCCGAACACUGUGUCCUGUUUACAAUGUGUCACUCGCACACAGAGUGAAGUUAUGCUAAUAUGGUGUCAGGUGCUGGAGGGACACCCCAGGUUUCUGCCAAAAGACCUGACAUGGAAAUGAAAACCGGCGUCGCCUCAGCGCUCCCACAGGAACAGACCCAUUAAGAUGUCAGGGCUCCUGGUGCCGGGAGCUCAUCCAGCAGCUGCCCAGGUCUCCAGUGUCAAAGAUGCAGCUCAAAGCUCCUUAACUCUGACCUUCACCUCUUCCUCCUCCUUUCAUCUGAUGUGCAAGAACAUAACAUUGGUCAGGUUUUGCCGCCACUGUAUUAAAACACAGAGGGAGUUUUUUUAACA